AGUGAACGCUGGCGGCGUGCCUAAUACAUGCAAGUCGAACGGAGUGGCGCACGGGUGAGUAAUAUGUAGCUAAUCUGCCCCUUGCUGACGGUCAACGGUUAGAAAUGACUGCUAAUACUCCAUAGAAAGGGAUUAGACUGUAUCGUAUCAGCUAGUCGGGGGGGUAACGGCCUACCGAGGCUAUGACGCGUAACUCGUCUGCGAGGAUGAUCAGUCAAAUCCGAACGGAGACACCGGUCGAACUUCUACGGGAGGCAGCAGUAGGGAAUAUUGCGCAAUGGGGGAGACCCUGACGCAGCAACGGCUCGUGGAGGAUGAUACUUUUCGGAGCGUAAACUCGUUUUGGUAGGGACGCGGUACCUAACGAAUAAGCACCGGCUAACUCCGUGCCAGCAGCCGCGGUAAUAC
rnacentral:rRNA from 1 species